UUAAAAAAUAAAAGUAACUAAAUCCUAUUCAUACACUGGUACUAAAAGACAGGGCAACAAGAUCUUUAAAAGUUCAAUAAAGUUCAAAUAAAAAAAGACCUUAAUCCUUCUUUUUUAUUAUUUCAUGUUGUAUGUUGUUAGGCAUUAUCCUUACGAGACUUAAGGCUUUACUCUUUACUUCUCAUAAGAGAAUAUGAGAAUUCAAGAUUUGCAUUUGGGCCCUGUUGAUGCAAAUUUUUGUUCAAUGUAAGUGAUUGAUUUGUGUUUCAAACUUUAUUCUGAAUUAAGUUUUGUGGCUUAUUUUUUCUUUAAGGCAAGUGUCUCAAAUGUGGUUACUUAUUCUGCAAAAAGAAACAAUAUAAUUGUAAAAGGGGGGCCGGCAUGCCGGAAUAAUCCUCUGACACUUAAGUUAGUUCUUUUUACUCAACCUUUAGAAAGAGAAAAUCUAGAGUGAGAUAGACAGUGUUUUUAUACUCCUUUUUUUCUUACCUCUAAAUGAGGGUAUUGUCCUUUAUAUAGGCAUCUUAGAGUCAACUAGAGAGGUUAUGUGGCACUUUUCUUGUGACAAAUAUUAAUCAAAGCCUAUGUAUUGAGACACAUAUUCAUAUAUGUCGACACUUAUUUAUGGCAAGUAUUCUUGAUACACUUGUCACGUUUUUGGGCCCUUGACCUUUAAUGGGCUUGAGCUUGAAUUCGGAAUUUUUGUUAGUUCUUCACAAAAAGGAUUAAUUCUGCAAUAUUUUCCCAUAAGCUCAUUCCAUAAAAUGUUUGUUAGCCUCUAUGCUUAUUCCGUAGAAUGUUUGUUGGGUCGUAUGUGCAUUCUAUGCAAUGUACAUAUUUUCCCAUAGAUGCAUUGGUAGAAUGUAUAUUUUUCUAUAGGCGCAUUUCGUAAAAUGUGUAUUUGCCCAUAAGUCUAUUCCUUAGAUUGUGUAUUUGCUCGUAGGCCUAUUCUAUACAAUAUUUAUUGCCAAUAGGCUUAUUCCGUAGAAUAUAUAUUUACCUGUAGGAGCAGUCCAUAGAAUGUCUAUUUGCCUGUAAGUGCAUUCGGCAGAAUGUAUAUUUGCUCGUAGAUUCAUUCAGUAAAAUGUAUAUUUGCCCGUAGAUUUGGUAGAAUGUGUAUUUUCCUGUAGGCACAUUCUAUAAAAUGUAUAUUUGCCUGUAGGCACAUUCUAUAUAAUAUAUAUUUUCUUGUAAGCGCAAUUGAUAAAAUAUAUAUAUACCCGUAUGUGCAUUCCAUAAAAUGCUUAUUAGUUCAUAUGCACUUACUUAGAAAUAUUUUCUAAGUGUCUAGGUCAUUUUUUAAGAGGAAUGACCUAGGUCGUUCUUUGUAAAGAAUAGACGUAGGUCAUUCUUUGUAAAGAAUAGAACUAGAUCUUUUUUUGUUGAACCAUGGCUUUAGCGCUUUGUUGAAGACUUGUCCUUUAGGCGUUUUACUUAGAAAUAUUUUAAAUGUUGCAAUCAUUCUUUAUAAGGAAUAGACUUAGAUCGUUCUAUAUAAAAAGUAGACCUAGGUCAUUCAUUGUGAAUAAUGAACUUAAGUUAUUCUUUGAAAAAUUGCGUUGUUAGCACUUUGUUGAAGACUCGCUUGUUGGACAUUUUAUUUAGAAAUAUUUCCAAGUUUCUAAGCCAGUCUUUGUAAUGAAUAGACCUAGAUCAUUCUUUAUAAAAAGUAGAUUUAGGUCAUUAUUUGUAAAGAAUGGACCUAAGUCAUUCUUUGAAGAAUCAAGCCUUUGGCGCUUUAUCGAAGACUCUACCUUUGGGAGUUUUAUUUGUUUUAUUUAGAAAUAUUUUCUAAGUUCCUAGGUUCUUCUUUGUAUAGAAUGAAAAUAGGUUGUUCUUUGUAAAAAGUGGACCUAAGUCAUUCUUUGUAAAGAACAGGCCUAGAUCUUUCUUUGUAAAGAAUAAACCUAGAUCUUUCUUUGAUGAAUCACGCUUUGAAGGUUUUGUCAUAUCUUGCAUUUAGACACUUGGAACUUUAAGUACUUAGGUUGUUUUGAUAGAGAAUGGGCCUAAGUUAUUUCGUGUAAAAUAUUUUUAUUUGGGCAUGGGUUUAGGCCAUUCGUAAUUUGGUCUAAUAGAGGCUCCCAAGUCUUACUUUUCAAUUUGAAGAAGUGAGACUUUUUUCUUUAGUAUUUUUUAUUAGGCAAUUCUUGGGCCUUUCUUAUUAUGAAUUGAGUUUCAGAAUUUGAAAUUUCUCUAGAGCACUUAUCCCAUUAGAAUUGGUCUAUAACCAAUCUCACAUACUUCAUUCCAUACUUUAUAGAUAUCUAGAAUCUAUCUUAAUUUCACAAUUAUUGAAAAUCAUAAAGAUAAGAAGUUUGUAAAAGUACCUUUUUAAAAGGGACACUACUUUGCAGAUUGUAUGUGAGAAUUUUAUGAGAGUUCUUUGGUGAGCUACUGUCGAGGCUUUUUAAGUGCUCAACGAUUUAAGAAGUAACGUCAAAUCAUUUCACUAAAUGUCAUCCUUUGAAACUAAAUUGCUUCAAAAAUAAACAAGUUUAUAGAAAAUAACCCUAGUCAAUUUUUAUAAAUGCUUGCCCUUAGGCAUUUUAGUUGAGAUUCACCGGAGCUUCAAUUAUCACUCACUGUUAGGAAUUUUAGUCAACAUCUGCCUUUAAGAGCUAUAGUCAACCAUUACUCUUAAGCUUUUUGAUAUUAGCUUAAGAUGUAUUAGCCAACAUUCACUAUAAGGCGUUUUAUUCAAAACAUGCCUUUAGGUGUUUUAGACAAUCAUUUGACUCUUAUUGUUUCACUUAGAAUAUUUUCUAAACACCAAUUGCACCCAUGUUUUUUUAUCAUAAUUCAUUCGUAGGUGGUUCUCCUCAGAAGAUUUUACUAUGAAUUAGACUUAAUUCAUUCUUUACAAGAAUGGACUUAAGUGUUUUCUAUCAUAAUCAGCUCGUGGGCUCUUUCUUUAGAAAAUUAAUUCUAAGUAUUUGGACCUAGGUCAUUCUUGAAAGGAUCUUGGUCUUGUUAUCAUAAUUCGCCCGUGGGUUGUUUCAUAAAGCUUCACGCGUAGGCGCUUUCCUUAGAAGAUUUUUCUAAGAAUUGGAAUAGACCUAGGUCUUUUUAUUAUGUUUCGUCCACGGGUGAUUUCAUAGAACUUCACCCGUAGGCAUUCUACCUUGAAGAUUUUUCUAAGCAUUAGACAGAAUGGACCUAGGUCUUUCUAUUAUACUUCAUGUAUGAGUGGUUUUGUAGAACUUCACCCAUAGGUAUUCUUCUUAGAAUGAUUUUUCUAAAAAUUCGACCUAAGUCUUUUUAUUAUAAUUCGCCUGUGGGUAGUUUCAUAGAAAUUUGCCACAAGUUUUCUCCUUAGAAGAUUUUUCUAAGAAUUGCACCUAGGUCAUUUUUUAUAAAGCUACACUCUCGUCGUUUUGUCAAACACUCUCCUUUUUAGGCGUUUUACUUAGAAAUUUCUUCUAAGUACCUAGGCCGCUCUUGUAAGAUUUGACCUAGGUCAUUUUUUUUUAUUAAAGUUACGCCCUUAGCGUUUUGUUGAAGACUAGCCUUUUGAACGUUUUACUUAGAAAUUUCUUCUAUGUACCUAGAUCACUAUAGUAAGAAUUGACCUAGAUCGUUUUUAUUGUAAAGCUACCCCCUCGGCAUUUUGUCAAAGACUUGUCCAAAUGACAUUUUACUCAAAAAUUUAUUCUAAGCACCUAGGUCUUUAUAGUAAGGAUUGACCUAGAUCUCUUUUUUUUUUUUUUUAAGUUAAGCCCUCAGUGUUUUGUUGAAAACUCACGUUUUGGCGUUUUACUUAGAAAUGUUUUCUGGGUACCUAGGUCACUCUUGUAAUGAAUGGACCUAGGUCAUUUUUUUAUCUUCCUUAGCAUUUGUCGAAGACUCACUUAGGUCAUUCAUGUAUUAUAAAUCACGCCUUGGCGCUUUGUAGUUGACUUACCAUCUAGCAUCUCACUUAGAAUACUUUCUAAGUUGUUAGGUUAACUUUGUAAUGAAUGUACCUAGGUAAUUCAUGUAUAAUGAAUUAUGCCUUGGCGUUUAAUCUAAGGAUCGAGGUUACUUUUUUGAAAAUGGACCUAGGCCAUUCAUGUAUUAUUAAUUAUGCCUUGGUGUUUUGUCAUCGACUCGCCGUUUGGCGAAUCACUUAAAAUAUUGUUUAAACUCCUGGGUCACUUUUGUAAUGAAUGGACCAAGGUCAUUCAUGUAUUGUGAAUUACCCCUUGACAUUUUUUCGAUGACCUACCAUUUGUGCAUGUUAUGAUAAAUUUCUUCUAAGGAUUUAGGUCACUUCUGUGACAAUGGACCUAUGUCAUUCAUGUAUCGCGAAUUACUCCUUGGUGUUUUGUCGACGACUCGCUAUUUGGGCAUUUUAAUUAGACAUUUCUUCUAAGGACCUAAGUCACUUUUGUGAAGAUGGACCUAGGUUAUUCAUUUAUUGUGAAUUAUGCCUUGGUGUUUUGUCCACAGUUUCACAUUUAGGUAUUUUACUUAGAAAUUUCUUCUAAGGACCUAGGUCUUUCUGUGUAAAUGGACCUAGGUCAUUCAUAUAUAAUGAAUUAAGCCUUGGCAUUUUGUCCACGACUCACCAUUUAGGUGGUUCAAUGAGACAUGCUCAUACGCACUUUAUCAAGACAUUCUUUUUGGUUAAUGAAGCCAUUUGUUGGCAACCAGUAGAACAAGUAAAGAUCAAAAUUAAUUGUAAAUCUUUUUAUAGUUUAUGGCCAACCUCUCCUUUUGUCGUUGGAGUUAGAUUACUUGACUAAACUUUUCAUGUUCUGUAAAAAGAUUUGAGUUUUACUAUCGGGGUGCAAAUACAAUGCAACUAUUGAUCUAUUGCCUAACUUAACCCAUAAUCUUUUUCAUUAGAAAUGGAUCUCUUUAUCUGUUAAACUUCUAUCAUUAGCCACAAGGUCAUGGUAGUUGUAAUUAUCAUGCACGCCCAGGAUAAACCACUUUGGCUUUUUAUUCAAGUUCUCACAGACCGUGCCAACUAUUGAUGCAAAGUUUUGCUCAAUGUACAGUGAUUGAUUUGUGUUUUGGACUUUCUUUUGAAUCAAGUUUUGUGCCUUAUUUCUUCUCAAAACAAAUGUCUCAAAUCACGUGUCUCCAUGUGGUUAAUUGUUCUGCAAAAAGAAGCAAUUUUCAAAGGGGGGUCGGCGUGUCGGCAAUAACCCUUGAUACUCAAGUCAGUUAUUUUUACUCAACUUUUAGAGAGAAAAAGUCUAGAGUGAGGUGGGCAGUGUUUUUAUACUUAUUUUAUGCCCCUUUUUUUUCUUACCUUCAAAUAAAAGGUUUUGUCCUUUAUAUAGCCUCUUAGAGUCAAUUGAAAAGGUUAUAUGGGACUUUUCUUGGAUGAAGACACAUAUUAUGUAGAAUGCUUAUUAACCCAUAUACUCUUACUUAAAAAUAUUUAUAAGUGUCUAGGUCAUUCUUUGUAAGGAAUGACCUAGGUUCUUCUUUGUAAAGAAUAGAUGUACAUCAUUCUUUGCACAGAAUGGACCUAGGUCUUUCUUUUUUUAAUCAUUCCUUUAGCGUCUUGUCAAAGACUUGCCCUUUAGGCGUUUUACUUAGAAAUAUUUUCUAAGUGGUUAGGUCAUUCUUUGUAGGGAAUGAACAUAGGAUGUUCUUUAAUAUUUUCUAAGUAGUUAGGUCAUUCUUUGUAAGGAAUGAAUCUAGGUUGUUCUUUAUAAAAAGUGGACCUAGGUCAUUCAUUGUGAAGAAUGGACUUAGGUCAUUCUUUUAGGAAUUAUGCUAUAGGUGCUUUCUUGAAAACUCGCACUUUGGGCAUUUUACUUAGAAAUAUCCCCAAGUUCUUAGCUUAAUUCCCUACAAAGAAUGACAUAGGUCAUUCUUUGAAGAAUCAAAGCUUUGGUUCUUUAUCGAAGACUUGCUCUUUAGGCGUUUUACUUAGAAAUAUUUUUUAAGUUACUAAGUCAUUCUUUAAGGAAUGGACCUACGUCAAUCUUUGUAAGAAUAGACCUAGGCCACUCUUUGUACUUUGAAUUCUAAGUACUUAGGCUAUUUGAUCUAACGAGCCUUGUGUGGCAUGUGAUGUGUAAUUGAUUAACUUGAUAUUUUGAUGCAAUUUACUAAUUUCAAAACAUGGUUAAAUAACAUAUAAUAUUUUAUUUAUCAUUUAUCAUUAUAUUAAAUAGUAAUUUAAAUUAAUAUUAUUCUAAUUCAUUCAUAUAUCGUAUUUACUUCACAAUACAAGACAAGACUCUACUGAAUAUAAUUUAAUCCAAUUCCUUAUUAUCAAAUCUAAAUUAAAUUCAAUCUGAUAUACCCAAAAGUUCAUAAUGGCACUAAAUUUUACCAUCUCUAAACACUCGUAAUUGAUAGCAAAUAGCGGUAGACGGAGACCCGCCAUUAUUGCCUCCAUAGAGGCUGCAUAUUGGUAGGUCACUUCCUAUAAGUAAAAAAAUCACCCUGACUCCACUCUAGUUUAGUCCAAACACCCAUCAUAUACAUACACCAUAAGGACGAAAGUCAAGGGCGGCGAGCUUAUUCGAGAAAGU
rnacentral:lncRNA from 1 species